GACGAACGCUGGCGGCGUGCUUAACACAUGCAAGUCGAACGGUGAAGCGCCUUCCUUUUUGGUGGGUGUGGAUGAGUGGCGAACGGGUGAGUAACACGUGAGUAACCUGCCCCCUUCUUCUGGAUAACCGCAUGAAAGUGUGGCUAAUACGGGAUAUUCUGGGUCUGUCGCAUGAUGGGUCUGGGAAAGAUAUUGUUUCGGUGGGGGAUGGGCUCGCGGCCUAUCAGCUUGUUGGUGGGGUGAUGGCCUACCAAGGCGGUGACGGGUAGCCGGCCUGAGAGGGUGGACGGUCACACUGGGACUGAGACACGGCCCAGACUCCUACGGGAGGCAGCAGUGGGGAAUAUUGCACAAUGGGCGCAAGCCUGAUGCAGCGACGCCGCGUGAGGGAUGGAGGCCUGCGGGUUGCGAACCUCUUUCGCCAGUGAAGCAGGCCUGCCUCGUUUGUGGGUGGGUUGACGGUAGCUGGAUAAGAAGCGCCGGCUAACUACGUG
rnacentral:rRNA from 1 species